CCUACGGGAGGCAGCAGUGGGGAAUAUUGCACAAUGGGGGAAACCCUGAUGCAGCGACGCCGCGUGAGUGAAGAAGUAAUUCGUUAUGUAAAGCUCUAUCAGCAGGGAAGAAAAUGACGGUACCUGAGUAAGAAGCCCCGGCUAACUACGUGCCAGCAGCCGCGGUAAUACGUAGGGGGCAAGCGUUAUCCGGAUUUACUGGGUGGAAAGGGAGCGUAGACGGCAGUGCAAGUCUGGAGUGAAAGGCGGGGGCUCAACCCCCAGACUGCUCUGGAAACUGUACGGCUGGAGUGCAGGAGAGGUAAGUGGAAUUCCUAGUGUAGCGGUGAAAUGCGUAGAUAUUAGGAGGAACACCAGUGGCGAAGGCGGCUUACUGGACUGUAACUGACGUUGAGGCUCGAAAGCGUGGGGAGCAAACAGGAUUAGAUACCCUUGUAGUC
rnacentral:rRNA from 1 species